CAUUACAGGCAGCUUCUAUUCUCUAACUUGGUCAUUUUAAACUUUUCCCUUUCAAGAUUAAUGUGCCUUUAGACAUGGCCAAUUGCAAAUGCAGGAUCUAGCCAAAUGAAAACACACAUCACAGCUAGUUUUUCUCAAUUACUUCUCAAAAAUCUUUUGAAGACAAUCCAUACAGCAAUUUUUGACAUAUGCAAAAACUGGAACAAUUUUAUUUCCUGCUUGACCAACCUGAUCUCCUUCUAUGAUCUAGUGACCUGUCUGGUGGAUGAGGGAAAUGCUACUGAUGUAGUCUACCUAGACUUCAGCAAAGCCUUUGACACUGCCUUUCACAGUAUUCUCCUGCAGAAGCUGGCAGCCCAUGGCUUGGACAGCACUUCAAAACAGCUACAAUCAGAUGGACUUGGAGGAUAUUUGUCCUUAAGAAUUCAGUGCAGAUCUUCAUGAAGAUGGGUUAUGCCUACACUUCCUUGAAGAAAGUUGUGAGUCAGAUGGGCAGCAGUCAGCCGUGGGAGGAAAGGGAACAACUCCACAGACAGUCCUCAUCCCCUGGACGCUACCUGUGAAAUACUCCGUUCAGUCACUGGGGAAUACUGAAUGCAGGAGGGCCGUGUGAGAAGAGUGCAAUUUUUCUAAAUAUGCUUGCAUAUGUGCCUAUCUUCAGCAACAUCAGAACCACUGGUAAGAAAGUCAAAGAGUACAUUCGAAAGUCUGGAGUGCCUGACUGCCCAGUGGAUUAAAUAGUGAGCUCUGAAAGGAGCUUAUCACGUAUUGCAAGUGUCAUACCUCAAAGCAAAUGAGAAAAAACAGUACUGUAAAUGAACAGAUUGAGGUGUGACCAAGCUUUCCCUGCUCUUCUCCUACUGCCUGGUUGCAGAAGGCUUAGUUACACUAGGUAUAUUGACCCCCAACUCUUUUACACUGAUUUGACAGCAGAUAGUUAUAUCAUGUGCUUUAUAUUUUCUGGCUCAGAUGUUCUUUAUCACUGCAGCAGUGUUUUGAGCUUGUAGGUCUUUUAUUCCCAAUAUUUUUUAUGUGCUUCUUGUCACUUUCUACCAUCUAUUACCAGUAUUGUCAAC
ensembl:lncRNA